UGCCUAAUACAUGCAAGUCGAGCGAACGGACGAGAAGCUUGCUUCUCUGAUGUUAGCGGCGGACGGGUGAGUAACACGUGGAUAACCUACCUAUAAGACUGGGAUAACUUCGGGAAACCGGAGCUAAUACCGGAUAAUAUUUUGAACCGCAUGGUUCAAAAGUGAAAGACGGUCUUGCUGUCACUUAUAGAUGGAUCCGCGCUGCAUUAGCUAGUUGGUAAGGUAACGGCUUACCAAGGCAACGAUGCAUAGCCGACCUGAGAGGGUGAUCGGCCACACUGGAACUGAGACACGGUCCAGACUCCUACGGGAGGCAGCAGUAGGGAAUCUUCCGCAAUGGGCGAAAGCCUGACGGAGCAACGCCGCGUGAGUGAUGAAGGUCUUCGGAUCGUAAAACUCUGUUAUUAGGGAAGAACAUAUGUGUAAGUAACUGUGCACAUCUUGACGGUACCUAAUCAGAAAGCCACGGCUAACUACGUGCCAGCAGCCGCGGUAAUACGUAGGUGGCAAGCGUUAUCCGGAAUUAUUGGGCGUAAAGCGCGCGUAGGCGGUUUUUUAAGUCUGAUGUGAAAGCCCACGGCUCAACCGUGGAGGGUCAUUGGAAACUGGAAAACUUGAGUGCAGAAGAGGAAAGUGGAAUUCCAUGUGUAGCGGUGAAAUGCGCAGAGAUAUGGAGGAACACCAGUGGCGAAGGCGACUUUCUGGUCUGUAACUGACGCUGAUGUGCGA
rnacentral:rRNA from 1 species